GCGGCUAACGGUUAAUUAGCAUGUUAGCGGCUAGCAGGUUAGCUCCACCCUCCACCUGUACCUGUACCUCCACCUGUGUCUCUGUUCGAGCAGUGACGCGGGGAUAACAAACACACAAAGCGGGGGGUCAGGCAGAAAAUAGAGCAGCGUAUCAGGAGCUGGCAGGGAUUCACUGUCUUGCUCAAGGACACUUCAGAUAUCCUUGAUGCUUGCCAACCUGGACAUGUGAGCCCCAGAUCAUUUGGUUGAAGGUAUGAUCCAGUGUCAUUGUAGGUCAAACAGAGGGGUUUUCUAAGCGUCACGCAAACCUUUCACCAGCCUCAAGUGAGAAACAAGAGUGCAGAGGAAGUUGUCAUCUGUGCACCUGCUCCACCCGCUUUGUGCAAAUCUAGAUGCAUGCACGGAAGUCACGCUUCAGAACAAGAGGACACAGUAUGCCAGAGGCUCGGUGUUCAUAGGCUACCUUGUGGAGUAAAAGCCAAAGUGUGAAGGGUCAGAAAAAGUCAGCAAACCAAAGUGUCUCGUGUUGGACAGGGAUGGGGACACUCCCGAGCGACGUUAAGAGGCUUUUGGAUGACUGUUUGUACUUUGUGUCCGACGUCCUUCAGGACGAGGACCUCAGUGAAACUGCCCAGGAGACACGGCAAGUCAUCCUGAAUAACUUCAGGGUCGUCCACUUAAGAAACCCUCAAGAGUUCCCCCCUCCAUCGGACUACAGGGAAGAAGAAGGUUCUGAUGACAACCGCAGUUCCAGCCUGGGUCGCUCUGUCCAAUCAGACGACGCCUCAUUAGCUUCUGACAACCAGGAUGAUGGAGCCCCCGAGUAUUUUGGUGACAUCCCCCCGGUGGCAGCUCAGGAAAUCAUCAACACCUUGAAGCAAGGCUACCUGGAGAAGAAACGAAGAGAUCACAGCUUCUUCGGCUCUGAGUGGCAAAAGCGAUGGUGUGUUCUGAACAAUCAAAUAUUCUACUACUUUGGGAGUGAGAAAGACAAACAGCAGAAGGGCUCCUUUUAUAUCAACGAGUACAACGUACAGCUGGUGCCCAACCUGAGAAAAGACUCCAAAAGAAAUGCCUGUUUCGAGUUCUUCGCCUCCGGACGCCGCUCGUUCCAGUUCACUGCCAGCAGUCCUCAGGAGGCCAGAGAAUGGGUGGAACAAAUCAAUAUUGUACUUAGAGAUAUCAGGUCCACCGUCAUCCCCGUCGACGACGAAGAGGAGGAGGAAGAGGAGACCUAUGAUGACAUUGAGGGGAUGACUGGCCCUCCCCCGCCUCGGCCUGGCGCUGCCCGGCCCGCCGAGAGCAGCAAAUGGAGAGGAGGGCAUGAGCCGGGGGAGGUCGACGACGAGGACGAGGACAUCUAUGAGGUGUUGCCAGAGGAGGAUUUUGCAGAUCCGAUGGACGAGAGCGGUGAGAGGAACGCCAAAUCAGCUUGGUCAUCAGAUUACGCUAACUACUACCAGGGUCUGUGGGACUGCCAGGCCGACGAGCCGGACGAGCUGGACUUCCAGAGAGGAGAUCUCAUCUACAUCAUUAGCAAGGCACUCAUGGAGAACGUCGGGAUGGAGUGGGAAGAGAUUUAUGGCGCAGAGCCAUCCGGGGUCCUUAAAACUCUGGCAAGCGCUGCUGCUGCUGCCGCCGCCGCCACCUCUUCCUCUUUUUUUCUCCAUCGCCCUGCUCACCUCUCCUCCUCCAUCCGCCGUCCAACCAAAACCCAGAGAGAGGAGAGCCGGGGCCAGCCAAUCCGGGCGCGUCUCCCAAAGCUGAGCGUCACAUCACAUUUGGCCAAAGCGUUCGGCUGCAGCUGCGUGCCAGAGACAACGAGAACGUGGACACCACUGACACCUUGUGGCGGCUUCGAGCGGAGUCGGAUUUAUUUAAUGACAACUUCUACAAACACCCAGAGCUGAUUUACGUCCUCGUAGAUUUACUCGUGUAAAUGCCAGUUCUGAUUUCAGAAAUCGCAACGGCUCAUUUUGUGAUUUAACGGCCGCUCGCGCUCCAGCCGGGCUACCUGUCUUUCUUUAGCUUCUUCUGUGUUUAACAAGCCGCUUUGGCCCGCUGCCCACAGGUCACACCGACUGAAUACAGCUGAAGAAAAGGAAAAGAGGGCAAACAAUCAGAUGGGAAAAGUCAAGCAAGAGAGACAAAGAGAGUGGAUCCCUUUAUUCCUUUGUGUGAACCCUGUCCCCCCUUCUCCUUUCUCCUUUUCUCUGUCACACACACCCAUUUAAAGACCCCUAGCUGCUAUUGUGGCCAUAGACACCAAGACGCUAUAGACAGGCAAAGACAUCCUAUUUACCACCCAAAGCUAGCAGGGGGUGAGUCUGGGGUUUGGGGUCAUGCAGGAGGCAGCGGUCAUCCCCCGGUCAACUACAGUAGGUCAUUAUUCAGCCCAAGCCAAUAGCCCAGAACCGCGUCCGAGCAACCCACCCCCAAUCCAUUCUGCUUAAUUAUUAUAAAUGAGGGGCGGCGUAAACAGCCAUCAUUACAGACACUCAGUGGCAUACACAAAUCCACUUUAAAUUGCUAUUAAGUUAAGGAGCUAUCUGUAAUCCCAGGCGUGCAUUAGAAAGGAGCGAGUAGGUUUUCUUUUUAUUAAAUCUCAUCGUCCCUGAGAUAUUUUCAAACGUUCUCAUGCUCUGUCAUGUUUCCAAUUUGAAGCCAAUUCACUGAUUUAAUUAAAAGCCCACUUGGAAAAAAUGGACACUAAGUAGCCAUUUCGAUCUCUGCUUGUGCAGAAUUAUCGUCCAUAUUUUCUGGAUGGAUUUCGACAAGAUUUCUUUUGGCACCGGAUCCUUCGUAACACGCCCCCCCCCAAAAAAAAAAAAGCCUCGCUCACACUUUCAGGUAUCAUGAGGUCAUUCGUGAGCAGCGAGGAGAGCUCGCUAACCUGAUAACGGGUUACAGAUCAUGGUGGAGGUGUCCAUGUUUCUUUGUUAGAGUGACCAGUGAUGGAAGAACUGCAGAGAAGAGCUGCUGCGGUGUAUCUGACGAGUCUACGUGGAGGGGGGGUGAAACACAGAGAGGAUGCAGGCUGCUUCAGGAGAGAUGGAAAGAGAGAGGAAAAGGAGGAAAGGAAGGAGGGAGGGGGUAGGAGAUGGGAAAGGAGGGAGGGAGGGAGAUUGUAACACCCAGGCGGCGGGUUCAGCGGCAGGGCAAUGAGAGACUUCCUGCGCUCCAUCACGCCCAAGGCCUGCCUCAGUCAGCUGGUGGCCGAGGAAAGAUGCCUCAUGUGUCAGGCUUAUUAGCACUCCCCCUAGUUUGUAUGCAUUUGGGAUUGUGUGCGAGUGUGUGUUUCAUCUGGGAGCAUGUGUGUGUGUGUGUGUGAUGAGGAGUUCAACAUGAAAUCAGUGUGUUAGGCAGAUUAAAGCUGCGUUCUGUUUGUAGGUACGCCAUGGCGGCUGGUGGAUUAUAGGUGACGAGGCGACACCUGCCUCCACCACGUUGUCUUUUUUAUCCGACAUCCAACCAACCUCGACUCACCUUCUCCUCGCUUCAGGCUCGGGGUAGCUGUCAAUCCGUCCUCCGGUCGAGGAACGUGAGCGAUGGGGCCCAUCAGAAUGCCACCAUUAGCCAGCCCCCUGAGUGGAGUACAACAUUCACGGCUGGUGGGUCGGCGAGCUGAACGGCACCGUGGGUAUCGUCCCCAAGGACUUCCUGCACCCGGCCUACAUCCUGUGAGCUCCAACAGUGCUGCUGCUGCUGCCGACACAUCCGGCCGUGAGUUUCACAGACGGGGCCCGGUCAGAUAAUCCUUUGCUGAUUAUUCUGUAAAUUAUAUCAUGUAGAUCUGCUGCAGCUGUACUUAUACUUAAAAACCUCCAGUAAAGAUCCCACAGACAACAUCGACACGCGGCAAACCAGAGCUGAAGCAGUCGAUUAACAGACUUUGAUUUUACAUUAAUCGUUUGAGUCGAUUCCUAAACGAAGAAAAUAUUUGUUUUCAUAUCGGUCUGAGGACAGAGGGUGUCACUCCCUGUACAGACAAAUGUACUGUGCGACUUUGGGCUAUACAAAUAAAAUCUGAUCUGAUUAUAAGGUGAAUUAAAUAUUAUCUUUUGUAA